CCUACGGGAGGCAGCAGUGAGGAAUAUUGGUCAAUGGCCGUAAGGCUGAACCAGCCAAGUCGCGUGAGGGAAGAAGGAUCUAUGGUUUGUAAACUUCUUUUAUAAGGGAAUAAAGGUAUCCACGUGUGGCUAUUUGCAUGUACCCUAUGAAUAAGCAUCGGCUAACUCCGUGCCAGCAGCCGCGGUAAUACGGAGGAUGCGAGCGUUAUCCGGAUUUAUUGGGUUUAAAGGGUGCGUAGGUUGUUUUUUAAGUCAGCGGUGAAAGUUUGUGGCUCAACCAGAAAAUUGCCGUUGAAACUGGAAGACUUGAGUGGGAUUGAAGUAGGCGGAAUGCGUGGUGUAGCGGUGAAAUGCAUAGAUAUCGCGCAGAACUCCGAUUGCGAAGGCAGCAUACUAAGCCAUAACUGACACUGAAGCACGAAAGCGUGGGGAUCAAACAGGAUUAGAUACCCGAGUAGUC
rnacentral:rRNA from 1 species